UACGAAGGGGGGCUAGCGUUGCUCGGAAUCACUGGGCGUAAAGCGCACGUAGGCGGCUUUCUAAGUCAGGGGGUGAAAUCCUGGAGCUCAACUCCAGAACUGCCUUUGAUACUGGAGAGCUUGAGUCCGGAAGAGGUGAGUGGAACUCCGAGUGUAGAGGUGAAAUUCGUAGAUAUUCGGAAGAACACCAGUGGCGAAGGCGGCUCACUGGUCCGGUACUGACGCUGAGGUGCGAAAGCGUGGGGAGCAAACAGGG
rnacentral:rRNA from 1 species